GGUCAGAAAGCUCUCCGAUUUCAUCAAAAAUAUCUUAAUCUGUGUUUGGAACGACAUGAUGGUGAUUGUACCUGAGCAAGUGACUCCAGCAUCAUCUGCAUGUGUGCAAUUGGUCACUCCCCAACACACAAUCUUUCAGCAAACUCUCACGACCAGUGCAGCUGACGCCAUCCAUCCAUACUGGACCUGCUCCCUUCCCAUAAAUAAGCAUUGUAGUAUGAGGCUACUGGGCUUCCACAGCCACGUUCUUUACACACCACCACUGGGUCCAGAAGAUCCCAGGUGGUGUCGCAGACCAUUCCCCACUGUCACAACUCCCAGAUCACAUGCCGCUGCCACCUUGUAACCUAAGGAUGGCUAAAUUAAAAGUUCCAUAAGUUCUUUCACUCUUAAGAAUAAACAUUCCUUUUCACUGUAAAAAAAAAA